rnacentral:lncRNA from 1 species
AUUAAAAUGAUUUUUUGGAUUAAUUUUGAUAUAUUUCAUGAAUUAAAUUUUUUGUGCAUAUUUUUAAUUAUUUAAAAAUACUUCUGACUUUUCAAAAAUCAUGAAAUUUUUUGUCUAAGGUCAUUUGAUCUUGUUUAUUUAUUUGGUGUUUUGAAGAGAUUUUAGGUUUUGACCAAAUUAAAUUGAAUUUUAAUGUAUUUUUAAUUUGAUUUUUAAAUGAUUAAUUGUGUAUAAAUUAUGUUGAGCCAUUUUUAUGGUCUUG